CAGUCGCCACGGUAAUACGUAGGGGGCGAGCGUUGUCCGAAGUUACUGGGCGUAAAGAGCGCGUAGGCUGGUCUUUAAGUGAGUGGUGAAAGGUUCGGGCUCAACCCGGACACUGCCUUUCAUACUGGGGACCUUGAGUGUGGGAGAGGCGAGUGGAAUGGUCGGUGUAGCGGUGAAAUGCGUAGAUAUCGAUCGGAACACCCAUGGCGAAGGCAGCUCGCUGGCCUAACACUGACGCUGAGGCGCGAAAGCGUGGGGAGCAAACAGGAUUAGAUACCCCCGUAGUCCCUGUCUCUUAUAC
rnacentral:rRNA from 1 species